AUUGAACGCUGGCGGCAUGCCUUACACAUGCAAGUCGAGCGGUAACGGGCCUUCGGGUGCCGACGAGUGGCGAACGGGUGAGUAAUGCAUCGGAACGUACCUUUCAGUGGGGGAUAACGUAGCGAAAGUUACGCUAAUACCGCAUAUUCUGUGAGCAGGAAAGCAGGGGAUCGCAAGACCUUGCGCUGAUUGAGCGGCCGAUGUCAGAUUAGCUAGUUGGUGAGGUAAAGGCUCACCAAGGCGACGAUCUGUAGCGGGUCUGAGAGGAUGAUCCGCCACACUGGAACUGAGACACGGUCCAGACUCUUACGGGAGGCAGCAGUGGGGAAUUUUGGACAAUGGGGGCAACCCUGAUCCAGCCAUGCCGCGUGAGUGAAGAAGGCCU
rnacentral:rRNA from 1 species